GUGUAAUUAUUUGUUACCUCCACAUUUUAGCGCAUGCAAUUUAACUUUUCACUAUUAAUCGCUAAUCUCCAUUUAAAUUCAAGUAAAAUAUAUGCUAUCAGAUUUAAUAACAAGAUAUCCAUGUGUAUAAGUUUCUUCUUUCGCAAUUCUCAUUUUUUUCAAUGUUAAUUUUCAGAUGAUAUCAAUUAGAUCUUUUCAUUCUCUACUGAAAUUUCAUUUCUUCUACUCCGCUAUCAAGAUAACUUCUCAUGGAAUGUGGAUUUAUAUCGCUUAUUCUAAUCAAUGAACACCUUGAUUGGGAAGAUAAGGCAGAUUAAGCUUGAAAUAUGAAAUAAGGGUCGUAGAAGCGGUCGCAGCCGGCGAGCUCUCCCACGACAAAGAACAGCCAAAUGAUUUUAAUUAAUUAUAAAGCUAUUAUCGAAACAUUGUGCUACAAAUCAUGAUAAUUUCUG